rnacentral:rRNA from 2 species
UAGGGAAUCUUCCGCAAUGGGCGAAAGCCUGACGGAGCAACGCCGCGUGAGUGAUGAAGGUUUUCGGAUCGUAAAGCUCUGUUGCCAGGGAAGAACGGCCGGGAGAGUAACUGCUCCUGGUUUGACGGUACCUGAGAAGAAAGCCCCGGCUAACUACGUGCCAGCAGCCGCGGUAAUACGUAGGGGGCAAGCGUUGUCCGGAAUUAUUGGGCGUAAAGCGCGCGCAGGCGGUUUGGAAAGUCUGGUGUUUAAGGCUGAGGCUCAACCUCAGUUCGCACUGGAAACUGUCAGACUUGAGUGCAGAAGAGGAAAGUGGAAUUCCACGUGUAGCGGUGAAAUGCGUAGAGAUGUGGAGGAACACCAGUGGCGAAGGCGACUUUCUGGGCUGUAACUGACGCUGAGGCGCGAAAGCGUGGGGAGCAAACAGG